AUACGUAGGGGGCAAGCGUUAUCCGGAUUUACUGGGUGUAAAGGGAGCGUAGACGGUGUGACAAGUCUGAUGUGAAAACCCGGGGAUCAACUCCGGGAUUGCAUUGGAAACUGCCAUACUUGAGUGCAGGAGAGGUAAGCGGAAUUCCUAGUGUAGCGGUGAAAUGCGUAGAUAUUAGGAGGAACACCGGCGGCGAAGGCGGCUUACUGGACUGUAACUGACGUUGAGGCUCGAAAGCGUGGGGAGCAAACAGGAUUAUAUGCCCUGGUAAUCCGCGCGGUAAACGAUGAAUACUAGGUGUUCGGGGUCGAUAGACGCUCGGUGCCGCAGCAAACGCAAUAAGUAUUCCACCUGGGGAGUACGUUCGCAAGAAUGAAACUCAAAGGAAUUGACGGGG
rnacentral:rRNA from 1 species